AUUUAUUUACUCCCUUUUGUUGCCCUUGUUGUUUUAUUGUUGUAGUUAUUAUUGUUGUUGUCGUUGUUGGAUAGGACAGAGAGAAAUGGAGAGAGGAGGAGAGAAAGACAGACACCUGCAGACCUGCUUCACCACCUGUGAAGCGACUCCCCUGCAGGUGGGGAGCCGGGGUUGAACCGGGAGCCUUAUGCCGGUCCUUGUGCUUUGCGCCACCUGCGCUUAGCCCGCUGCGCUACAGCCCGACUCCCUGCCCCAUUAUUUCUACCAGAUCUUUCAGAAGAGCUAGAACAAGCAUCCAAAGGAGAUAGCUUGUGAACUACAGGGAGGUUGUCCAGGAUGCAUCAAAAGCCACCAAGUUGAUGAUGCUACUAUGUUGCCAUCCUGACCUCCCUGGGCAGACCUCACUAAUGUAUUCUGGAACCCUACCUCUCCAGAGCCCAAUCCCACUAGGGAAAGGUAGAAACAGGCUGGGGGUAUGGAUCGACCUGUCAACAUCCCUGUUCACCAGAGAAGUGAUUACAGAAGCCAGACCUUCCACCUUUUGCAUCCCAUAAAGAAUUUUGGUCUAUGCUCCCAGAGAGGGAUGAAGAAUAGGGAAGCUUCCAAUGGAGGGGAUAGGACACGGAACUCUGGUGGUGGGA